rnacentral:rRNA from 1 species
CCUACGGGUGGCAGCAGUGAGGAAUAUUGGUCAAUGGCCGGAAGGCUGAACCAGCCAAGCCGCGUGAAGGACGAAGGUGCCAAGCAUUGUAAACUUCUUUUGUCAAGGGACAAAAUCAGGCUCGAGAGCCUGACCGAGGGUACUUGCAGCAAAAGCAUCGCCUAACUCCGUGCAAGCGGCCGCGGUAAUACGGAGGAUGCGAGCGUUAUCCGGAUUUAUGGGGGUAAGAGGGUCCGUAGGCGGACUGGUAAGUCAGAGGUAAAGGCCGGGGGCGCAACCCCGGAGAGCCGUUGAAACUGGCUGUCUUGAGAGGACGAGAGGUAUGCGGAAUGCGUAGUGUAGCGGUGAAAUGCUUAGAUA